rnacentral:misc_RNA from 1 species
CUUUUUGUAAAAUGUUUGCGGUGUGUAUUUGUAGUAAUGUAAUGUAUAUAACCCAAUAAUAUAAAAUAAAUAUAAUGUAUAUAUUAAUGAGUGUAUUUUGUAAAUAGUUUUAUUAUACUCGUAUUUUUGUUUGUAUUUAUAGGUUAGUUCAAUAUUGCUUAAAAUAUUUAGGGGUUUAAUAAGUACAUACAAUGCGAGCGAAAUUUUAAGAUACAUGAAUGAUACAUAAUGUAUAUAUAUAAUGUAUAUUAUAUGUAAUGUAUAUUUUAAUGUGUGUAUUUUGUAAAUAGUUUUAUUAUAUUUUUGAUUGUACAUGUAGGUUAGUACACUAUUGCUUAAAAUAUUUAACAAUUUAAUAGGUACAUAGAACGCAUGUGCAAUUUUAAAGUACAUAAAUGAUAGUAAUAUAAACCGGACUAGUCACUUUUGUUUUCGUAGCCGCGAAAGAUCUUCUUCAGACUUUAUAAGCCGGCCAGGCAUUCCAUCCUUUUCUCGUACAUACACCUUGCCGUUGGCAGUCCAGCAUUGCUCAUAUUCACUGCUUUUAACAAACUCUUUCGCCAGGUAGUGUAACCGUUUCGUCAUAGUAGUGAGAACUUCUGAGAUAUAUAGUGGUUGCUUAGGAACUUUUUCAUUCACGUGGUUUGAAUUAAGGCGGUUUUUCGUAUUUUGUUUAUUAAAGGAUUUAGUUGAGCUUAGGAACUGUUCUUUAAGUUUUGGAGACGCAAAUUCAACUAUAACUGUACCCAACGAGUCUGUCUUAUUCUUUAAUCGAAAGAUGUUCUGAAUCUCACUUCCAUUAAGCGGUUGAUUGACGAUGUUACUAAUUUUUUUUACUGAGUUAAUAAGCGUUUCUCGAGUUUCUGGUGUUGUGGACGGAAGAUUUUUAAUCUCUAAGGAAGCCGCUUUAAUAUGCUUUUCCAAAUAGUCAACCUUACCCUCCAGAGCCUUUAUAGUUUUUUUGUUGUUGUUGCAUUCUUUUUUUAAAUUAUCUAUCUCCAGAAGGGCAUCAUCGUACUUAUCAGAGAGGAAUUUAAUAGUAUUCUGAAUUUCAAUAUUUUGUGUGCGUAUUUCAGCGUUUUGAGUCCUUAUGAUAGCAUUUUGAGAUCUAAUUUCGUCAAGAGCUGAAUGUAAGGAAUCCAUUUUAUCAUUCUGCUGGUUUUGUUUUGUUACUAGUUGAGAAAACAUACCCUUCAUCUCAUUCAUCAUUAUCUCCAUUCGUUCCCAAUCAUUAUCACUACGCUUUCUCUUCCUAUGGGUAGUAUUUGAAAUAUCAUCAUCACCUUUAUAGUCCUUGGAAGUAUUUGAUGUUAAGUUAGGCUCAGAGGCGUAAUGAGACGACGCUGGACUAUUAGGUGGGGUUCUUUUCAUAGAGGAAAGCAUUGGAUUUAUUAUCUG